rfam:Myotis lucifugus cont2.16797, whole genome shotgun sequence.
UGUGGACUGGUGGGGUCCCUCAGCCUGGCCUGCGCCCUUUCCCAAUCCAGGACCCCUCAGGGGAUGUUGGAGAGCCGGUUUCAGCUCGAUCCCCACAGGCCAGGCUGAGGGACCCCACCGGUGCGCG